UACAGAGGUCCCAAGCGUUGUUCGGAUUCAUUGGGCGUAAAGGGUGCGUAGGUGGCGCCGUAAGUCGGGUGUGAAAUUUCGGAGCUUAACUCCGAAACUGCAUUCGAUACUGCGGUGCUUGAGGACUGGAGAGGAGACUGGAAUUCAUGGUGUAGCAGUGAAAUGCGUAGAGAUCAUGAGGAAGACCAGUGGCGAAGGCGGGUCUCUGGACAACACCUGACACUGAGGCACGAAAGCUAGGGGAGCAAACAGG
rnacentral:rRNA from 1 species